AGCUCCAUUAGCGUAUAUUAAAGUUGUUGCAGUUAAAAAGCUCGUAGUUGGAUUUCGGUUCGGGUCGGGGCGGUGGCGUCGCGAGACGUCUACCUCCCGGCCAGUCUCUCUUCCCGAAGACUGCGUGUGCUCUUCAGUGGGUGCGCGUCGGGACUCGGGACGUUUACUUUGAAAAAAUUAGAGUGUUCAAAGCAGGCAUUCAUCGUGCCCGAAUACAUGAGCAUGGAAUAAUGGAACAGGACUACGGUCACUGCACUUUUUCCGUUGGUUUCGGAGGACCGAAGUAAUGAUUAAGAGGGAUGGUUGGGGGCAUUUGUAUUCCAGCGUCAGAGGUGAAAUUCUUGGAUUGUUGGAAGACAAACAGCUGCGAAAGCGUCUGCCAAGGACAUUUUCGUUGAUC
rnacentral:rRNA from 1 species